GAAGGGACAGUUCACCCCAAAAUGAAAAUAAUAGCAUCUUUGGCAUCCUCCACUUGUUUCAAAAUAGUUAUAUAUUUAAUUUGUUCCGUUGAACACAAACUCGUAUUUUUUAAAGAAAUUUGGUUCAAAUAUGGAUGUCAAUAGUUACUGGUUACUAACAUUCUUCAAAAUAUCUGCUUUAGUGUUUAACAGAAAUUCAAACUAGUUUAAAACACAUGGAGUAAAUAGUGGCAAAAUAGUAAACUAUUCCUUUAAAUAUUUUAUUCUGAGACUUUUAUUUAUAUGUGUCUUGUCUUUUGUCAUAUUGUCCUUCUAGCCCAGAUUGUGAUGGACCUGGAAUGCGACACCAGUUACUCUUAAGACAAGAACCGAAUAAAGCACAGAUGUGGAGGGAUUUGCAGCCAAACUUACUGGAGGGAAGGAACCUUUAGUGUGGGUGAACAUACUACCUGGAUGUCCAACAAAGGCUGCACAAGAGCUCAUUUGAUAGCACACAUUCUGUCCUGUCUACAUCUCUGAUGACCUGGAAGUGCUUCGACAUCAGAUCAUCAGAAGUGCUGCUGCCCUUUUUCACUGUCCCUUUCCACAUCAUUUGGCCUUCAUCAUUUCCUGUCUUGUAGCAGUAUUUUUACCUGUUUUUAAAAUUGUAAUAAUUUUUGAUGCAUUAAUUGUUGACUGGUUUUAAUGAUCAAUUGUUUAUUAGUGUUCUGUUGCUUUGUUAUAUUGAAUU
ensembl:processed_transcript